AAAACUGUAAGCCAGCCCCCAGUUAAGUGCUUUCUUUUAUAGGAGUUGCCUGGUUAUGGUGUCUCCUCAGAGAGAACAAUGACUAAGACAAGGGAUAUGGUAUUAAGAAGUGCCAUGGCAUUCUAGACUGAUAGUGGUGAAGAGAUUGGGUAUAUUUCCUCUUAACAAAACAUGAACUCUCUCUGUGAGAUCUGAGCAUCUCCUUCCUAGCAAAGUGUAGUUUUAUGGGCUCUAGUUUGGGAAGAGUUGAGGGUUUCCAUGGUAACACUUGAUAGAGUUCAUUGUUUGAAUCUAGGGGUUUCCAGUGUUGGGAUAAAGUCAUGCCUGGACACGUUUGGGAAGUCAGGGGCCACAGAGAAAUCCAUCCUAGUGAAGGUUUUGGUUUGAGUGAAUGAGAAGGAAGGGGACUGGAUGGCUGAGAUGAGGAGAAAAGGAAUCUGAGGGCAGCAGUGGCCAAGUGGCACAUUUCAACUAUUCUGGCCCUCACAUGAAUGAACACACUUCCUACCUUUGGAGAAUUCAUAAUCUCAUUUGCACCUGGGGGUGCACACUGGGGGUGACACAAGCCCUGGGGAUGACACACCUGAGCGUGCAUCACUUAGAGUCUGCGCUGUUAAUGGCAGCAGCUAGGUCAAGUUUCCAGAGGGAAGGACUUCCCAGGGCAGACUAGCCACAGCGCUUCUCAGCUAUGACUCAGAGCACUGGUCCUAGCUGGGAGCCUCCUACCUGGCUUUUAGAAGACCUGAAAAAUCUUCAACAAUCAAUGACUUCUACCAUCCUAGGUCUCCGCCAGAUGCUGCUGAGAAUUUUGACAGCAGGAAGUUCAAUUCCAGUCCCGCUCACAGAUUAGAACUUUAAGUUUAAGGAGAGGGGUUCACACAAUGACAGGGAUUUCAUGAGCCAUUGGGGGACACUUGGAAUUUGAACAAUAGUACUUUACACCUCAGGCAAUGAAGUUCUGCUUCAGAGAGGAAAACUAGCCCAGCCCACUUUCCUCUGGAGCACAGCAGAGCCCAGACUCAUUGAAGCUCAGCCUCUUCAGAUGAGGCCCAUCACCCACCCCAACAGAAGAGUUCACUCUUUAGUUGCUUUUCUAACAAAGUCUGGUAAAGCCUGAGGAAACUGGUAGCAAACCUCUCUAUUCAGCAUGGAUCGUCAGUAGUAUAUGUGUUUAAUUGCCUGAGACCUUAAUAAAUGAAUCCAUCUAUUUCUGUUGAAACCUUAGCACUGUGGAGAGCAGUGACUUAGGUUGACCACUCUCUGUCUGGCUUUCUGAGCAUGGCCCGUUCUCAUCCUCCACAACCUUGGGUUGGAACCUUUAUUGACGCUGCAAAGUUGAGAAAGUUCUUUAACUUCCGUGUGCCUCCAAAUGCAUAGAACACUAAGCUCAUAGUACUGUGAGGGAGGAUAUUUAAAUAAGUAGAGAGCCCGAGAUCCGUGAAGUAUAAAAUGCCGCCCACUGUAAGGGCAUUUUCCUUCCUGGCCACCACACUCAGCACCCUCGUUAGGCUGCUUUUCCUGCCUCUGAACCAGCCCGAUACAGCGGAUUGAAGUGUCAAAUAAUCCUGGAAACUUGAAAGCCACGAGACUAAGAAGACCAAACAGCAGACUCAAAAAGACAAAAAUCUUAGCAAGGAAAUUUCUCAGACAAAAGAAAUCCACAAAGUCUUGUCAUCCGAGCCUUGCAAGUUACUUAUGGGAAGCAAACAGACGCCACCCAUGAGAUGAAACACUCACUGCCCACAAAGUCAGUGUGGCCAUAUGCCCCAGUUGAGUAAUCCUGGCUCAUCCUUGUUGCCCAGACUAUUACAGCAUCAUCUCCCACACUUCAGUAGAGGUCUGAGAUGGAGCAAUUCUGUAGUCUUCUAGACAUAACGAAAGCAGGCUCAAAGAGCAUACAGACAAUGGUCUAGUCAAAGGGUGGGAUGGAGAUCAGAGAGGGCAGUGAGCAAGGACAGAGACCUUAGAAAUGAAGCCAUUUGCACCUCAGCCAGGAAACCUUUUCAGGGGUUCCCUUCGUGCUAGAAACUAGAAAACAGAUGGAGCCUGCCUGUGUAAGCCAAUCAGCUGCAUUUCAACAGGAAAAGGUGGAUGGGAAACUUAGAGAGCCAGAGUGGGGACAGAAUCAUGGCUGAAAACCCAGAUCACGGCAAGGCAGACUUCAGCACCUGCUUACCGCCAUAACCACUUUGAAAUUUCAUUUCGUAGGUUGGCAUGCAAAGUGGUGUGCUCCAUCGUGGCAUCUUCACACAUGUCACUCCACAGUGUGUUCACCUGGGCCCCUUUGAUAACAAGUUCAGCCCUCUAGUCUUCUGAUUGCUAAAAAGUGGACGAAGGAAAUAGCAUUCAGGAGGUUGGGAUCACAUAAUGCAGCAUGACAAUGAAGGAAUGUUUUCAGCCCAUCACAGCAACAGCUUCCAGAUCCACCAAGGCGGCCUCUCAGGGGAAGGGGAUGAGCAAUCCCCUUGCAUAAGAUCAAUCACAAGUCUCCCCCAUUGUACCAGUCACUUGCUUCUUGGAGAAUUAUGGAGGAAGAGGAGAUGGCCCUUCUCCCAUCUUAUAUGAGAAUAGCUGCAGUCAUCUGAGGUCCACAGAGGAUUGGUGAACCUGGAAUGUUGUCUCCCGAGAUGUGUGCAAGCUGUACAGGUUAGCUGAACUUGUGGUUGGAGCAAGGUCUCCAGAAGAAUUUGUGGAUUUGUUUGUUGAGUUCCUUGUAGCUGGGAAUUAAAGGUGACAAAAACAAACAACUAUUCUAGGUUUAGCUUACUAGGUGAACAAUUAAAUUGAGCCUGCCAAUAGAAGAGAAUUGGGAAUAAAACUUUUUUAUAGUAGCAAAAAAUAGCAUAUUUUUAUGCUGACAAAAAUAAUCUGCUAUUUAGAUAGCUCAUGAUGAAGUAUAAGGAAGCAAUCAUUGUGGGAUACAUCCUCCAGUAGGCAAGGAGAAGUGUUCAAAGCACAAUGUGGUGUAGGGCAUAGGAGCAGAUGGGUAAGGAAAUGCAGUGAUGGUGCAAGAGGAAGCCCAUGGCUGGUGCUCUCUCUAAGAACUAGCAAGCAAGUUCAUGGGCAAGAAUGGGGCUUCUGCCAGCUGUGUUUUUAUAAACUAGACACAAACCUAGAUAUAGCUUGGAAGAGUGAAUCCUAAUUAAGAAAAUGCCUCCAACGGAUUGGUCUGUAGCCUACCCACUGAGGGUGGUGCCAUCCCUUAGCAGAUGAUCCUAGGGUGUAUAAGAAAGCAGGCUGUAUAGGCCACAAAGAGCAUCAUUCCUUCAUGACUUCUGCUUCAGUACCUGCUUUUGAGUUCCUGCCUUGACUCCUCUCAACAGACUUUCCUUCCCAAAUUGCUUUUGGCCAGUAUUUUAUCACAACAUUAGAAAACAGACUUAGAUGGGGCUUAAAGAAGAGAUGCCAUCAAAUCAGUUUUCACCCCAAAUACCCCCCCCCCAAGUUAUCCACUCCCAAGUGGUCAUGCCUAAACACAUGUGCACAUGAACAACACUAAAGAGAUUCAUCAAGCUGUAGUAGACAUACAUAUGUGUGUGUGACAGUAAGAGAAAGGUGUUGUGAAGUUGAGAAGGAGUUGGGAAGGACAUGGGGGUAGUUGCAGUGGGGAGAGUGCGGGGUAGAACUGUUGUAAGUACAGUACUCUAGUAUAAAAUCUUGGAAAAUAAAAAUGUUUUUAAAAUCCUAUGAACUAAUUGGCUUAUAGUUCUAUGGGUUAGAAGUCUGAUACAGACUGUUCUCCCUGGAAUAAAACCAGUGAGAUAAAAUCAGUAGCAUUGUCUUUCUCUGCAGGCUACAAGGAGAAUCCAUUUCUUCAUUCUUCAUUUUGCAGCUUCUGAAGUCCUCCCUCCUUUCUUAGUGAGUGAUCUCUGAAAGGACUCGACUCUGGGACAAAGAGCUGAGGUGGCUAUUUAAUACGUCAAAGCUAACCUGGCCACCAAGUUCUCCCAGCAUCCCCUAAUCUAGGGGGAAUAAGACAUAAUUUUACAUAUGGAUGACAUGGAAAGUCAUCAGAAUAUAGACAGAUACCCAGAAAGAGUCCAGGCAUGGAUUUGGUGCCCAUAUGAGGAACAAACGGCCAUGCGGAUAACCUGAGGAGGCUAGUACCUUCAUGUACUGAGUCUGGAGCACAGGAAAGAUUAGUCAUAAGAGGCAGGAUCAGGGGGGCAGAGGAGCCCCAUGAAAGAGCCUGAGAGAUCACUGAAAGUACUUGGGAUUUUACUUAGAUCCAAGUGAACACACACUGAACACUUGUAGGCAGAUAUUUGAUGCUGUCUUGGUGUGGGAGAAUUGUCUGUAUUCUGUCAAUCAUAUUUUAAUAAAAAACUGAUUGGCCAGGCAGGCAGUAUAGGUGGGAAAGCCA